CCAGGAUAUGUUUUGUCCAAUAAGGGUACUUGCUCAGUCACUACCAAUUUGGUCUUGUUUUGAGAUCAGACAGAUACCUGACUCUUCAGCAACUGCUGGCCAACUCAGAUCCACAGGCUAAACAUAUCCAGCUCCCUAAGCCACUCCUCAUAGGACAUGGUUUCUGGACCUUUCACCAUUUUGGUCAUUCUUCUCUGGACACCAUUCCAAAUGGUUAAUAUCGUUCUUGAAUAGUGGGUUCCAGAACUGGACAAAGUAUUCCAGCACAAAGGAAUGUGAUCAACAAUCUCCAGCAGCAAAUGACCCACUGCAUCAUAUUCCUUCAGUCUGCCAUCACCUAUUAACCAUGGUUACCUCUCACACUGUAUUAACACUUAAAACUCAUGGCAGGCAAGAUGCUCAUGCAACUUCUGAUAGUCAUCUGGACCUAUCACACUGGGACAACUGUCAAGAUCUAAAAGGCCUUUAUGAUAGUACAUAGCACUUUGGAAAUUUAAGGCAAAGGACAUGGUUUGCAUCUUUCUGGAUCCUAUUACAUUCCAUACCACUCCCACAGCUGUGUAAAUAUGCCUUAUACGGUAUACCUGAACAUUUAUGAUCACUCUCUACUAUCCCACUUCUAUUGCACUCCCCAAACUGUGUACAUAUGCUUUAUGGCUGAGGUCUUAAUACCACUCUGCAUCUGAAGAAAUUUAGAUCUGCAAAAGCUCAUGGGAAAAUAAAAACCAGUUUUAUAAGGUAUAUUUCUUUUCUUUUUUCCCUUUUGCUCCUCCUUCCUUCUUCCUUUUUAUAAUGUUUAGCUAUAAUGAGGAAGACACAUGGGAAUGACUCAUCAGCAGAUAUUGUUUCAUAUCAUUCUAGAGAAGGAAAGUAUGGUGUUCAAAGAAUGCUAUUACAUAGGUGGCUUCUAUAGCAGUUCUCAUGCUUCCCGCAGGACCUUGUGCGAUCUCUUGUGCAUAUGGUCUUUUGCUUCCUUCCACUUUUUUAAACUCCAGUUUCACCUUUUUCAGAUAAAUGGGCAGUGCAUUUAUACCAGCCUUCAACACACAUCAGAGCCAGCUUUGGGAUUUCUUGCAACCAAGUCUAGCUUAAUUUUUUUUAUCUGUUGUCCUAUCCUUGGACUGAAAAAAAAUGUUUUGGGUUUUUUUGUUCACUUUACUGUGAGAUCUGUCACAUUACUACUCUAGACACUUUCAAAAAGGCUGUCAAGAUAGAUCUCUUCUGGCAGGCCUUCCCAGACUGACCUCCUUUACUUUGAUACCAAUUAUCCUCCCUACCCUAAAUCAUCUCUUCUCAACUCGGCUUUUUAACUAUUUUAAUCUGUAUUUUUAUUAGUUAUUAUUUUUCCUUUGGUGGGAAGGAUGGGGCAUCUGUAUACCUCAGAAUAGAUUUAAAUUCUGAUCAUGAUCAGAAAAUACUUCACAACUCACAUAAUACGGUUUUUUAAAAAUAGCCCUAAUGACAAGGGUUGUAUCUUAUUUGGUGUUUUCUUGAAUUAGCCUGUUUUGAAGCUGCAUUUUAUUGUUAGUUACCUUGAGUGCCCUUUUUGGCAAAGGCUGGUAUAAAUUUAAUAAAUGUAGUGUUUCGUGUGUUGAAGGGGCUACAGGGCCCCAUUGAUGCAGCACCUCCAUCCUAUGUGCGCCUUCCCUAAUGUCCAUGUGUAACUGUCUACAGAAGAGCAACUUGCAUAUAGAUUUCUAAACAUCUGUAAUGCUGUACAAUCCUAAUUUCAGACUGUGCAUGUAG